rnacentral:rRNA from 1 species
UUAAGGGCGCACGGUGGAUGCCUUGGCACAGACAGUCGAUGAAGGACGUGGCAAGCUGCGAUAAGCCCAGAUGAGGCGCAAACAGCCUUUAUUAGUCUGGGAUUUCCGAAUGGGGGAACCUGCAUGGGGUUAUGCUCAUGUAUCCGGCAAUGAACACAUAGUUGCCGAGAAGACAACCCGGGGAACUGAAACAUCUAAGUACCCGGAGGAAGAGAAAUCAACCGAGAUUGCGCUAGUAGCGGCGAGCGAAAGCGCAAGAGCCUAAACCAUUGAGUGUGUUACAGCUUUGGGGCGAUGCCUCAAUGGUGUUGUUGGGGCUCACUGUCACACAACCCAAAUUGUGUGCCGCAGUUACAAAACUUAUUCAUAGCAGAACAAUCUGGAAAGGUUGGCCAUAGAGAGUGAAAGCCUCGUAUGCACAAUGUUUAAGUCUGCGGAUGUGAGUUCCCGAGUAGGGCCAGGCACGUGAAACCUGGUUCGAAUCUGGGGAGACCACUCUCCAAGGCUAAAUACUAGUCUGUGACCGAUAGUGAAACAGUACCGUGAGGGAAAGGUGAAAAGAACCCCGGGAGGGGAGUGAAAUAGUACCUGAAACCGUGUGCCUACAAGCAGCCGGAGCACUCUUGCAGUGUGACGGCGUGCCUUUUGUAGAAUGAGCCAGCGAGUUACGGUGUGUGGCAAGGUUUAGUUAGAAAACGAGCCAAAGUGAAAGCGAGCCUUAACAGGGCGUUUGAGUCACAUGCUGUAGACGCGAAGCCGAGUGAGCUAUCCCUGGCCAGGCUGAAGCGGGGGUAAGACCCCGUGGAGGGCCGAACCCACUUGGGUUAAAAACCGAGGGGAUGAGCUGGGGAUAGGGGUGAAAGGCCAAUCAAACUCGGAGAUAUCUCGUUCUCCCCGAAAUAGCUUUAGGGCUAGCCUCGAUGCGUUUCCUUAUGGUGGUAGAGCCACUGGUUUUUUGCGGGGGUGUCAAAGCCUGCCAACGAAAGCCAAACUCCGAAUGCCAUAAGGUUAGAGCUCGGGAGUCAGACCGCGUGGGAUAAGCCGCGUGUUCAAAAGGGAAACAGCCCAGAUCGCCUGCUAAGGUCCCUAAGUUUAUGCUAAGUGGCAAAGGAUGUGCGUUUGCCUAGACAACCAGGAUGUUGGCUUAGAAGCAGCCAUGCAUUUAAAGAGUGCGUAAUAGCUCACUGGUCGAGUGGACAUGCGCCGACAAUUAACGGGGCUCAAGCAUAACACCGAAGCAGCGGACUAAUUUAUUAGUGGUAGGGGAGCUUUCUGUGUACGUUGAAGUUCAACUGUGAGGUUGGGUGGAGAGCACAGAAGUGAGAAUGCUGGCAUGAGUAACGAGAGAUGGGUGAAAAACCCAUCCGCCGUAAGCCCAAGGGUUCCUGGGGAAGGCUAAUCCCCCCAGGGUUAGUCGGGAGCUAAGCUAAGGCCGAGAGGCGUAGGCGAUGCACAACAGGUUUAUAUUCCUGUACCACUGCGGGUCGUUAUACCGAUGGAGUGACGGAGAAGGGCAGCCGAGCGGGGUUCUGGACGUCCCCGUGAAAGCGUGUAGGGAGAUUUCGCAUGGAAAUCAGCGGAAUCGCUAAUCUCGAGACGUGAGACGAAGCACACUGGUGUGAAGUCGGUCAUCCCAUGCUUCCGAGAAAAGCUUCUAGGAAGACUUUGCAGUGCCCGUACCAAAACCGACACAGGUGGGCGGGUAGAGUAUACCAAGGCGAUCGGGAGAACUAAGUUUAAGGAACUCGGCAAAAUGACCCCGUAACUUCGGGAGAAGGGGUGCCGCUUGUUGUGAUGAGACUUGCUCUUUGAGCGAUGGGCGGCCGCAGUGAAUAGGCCCAAGCGACUGUUUAUCAAAAACACAGGACUCUGCUCUAAGUCGUAAGACGAUGCAUAGGGUCUGACGCCUGCCCGGUGCUGGAAGGUUACGUGGAUGGGUUAGCUUUUAGCGAAGCCUUGAAAUUAAGCCCCAGUAAACGGCGGCCGUAACUAUAACGGUCCUAAGGUAGCGAAAUUCCUUGUCGGGUAAGUUCCGACCUGCACGAAUGGCGUAACGACUUGGGCGCUGUCUCAAACUUAGACCCGGUGAAAUUGCAUUGUCCGUGAAGAUGCGGACUCCCUGCGGAAGGACGGAAAGACCCCGUGAACCUUUACUGCAGCUUGGCAUUGACAUCUGGUACAGCGUGUAGAGGAUAGGCAGGAGACUGUGAAGUGGGGGCGCAAGCCCUCAUGGAGUCACCCUUGGAAUACUGCCCUCGCUGUGCUGGCUGUCUAACUCGCGGCCGUGAUCCGGCGCGAGGACCGUGCCAGGUGGGUAGUUUGACUGGGGCGGUCGCCUCCUAAAAUGUAACGGAGGCGCGCGUAAGGUCCACUCGAGACGGUUGGCAAUCGUGCUUGAGAGCGCAAGAGCGUAAGUGGGCUUGACUGCGAGACCUACAAGUCGAGCAGGUGCGAAAGCAGGCUCUAGUGAUCCGGCGGCCCCAUGUGGGAGGGCCGUCGCUCAACGGAUAAAAGGUACUCCGGGGAUAACAGGCUGAUCUUGCCCAAGAGUCCACAUCGACGGCAAGGUUUGGCACCUCGAUGUCGGCUCAUCGCAUCCUGGGGCUGUAGCCGGUCCCAAGGGUAUGGCUGUUCGCCAUUUAAAGCGGUACGCGAGCUGGGUUCAGAACGUCGUGAGACAGUUCGGUCCCUAUCCUCCGCAGGCGCAAGGGAAUUGAAGGAAGCUGCCCCUAGUACGAGAGGACCGGGGUGGACGUACCUCUGGUGUAGCGGUUGUUGACCAACAGCAUCGUCGCAUAGCUACGUACGGAAUGGAUAACCGCUGAAAGCAUCUAAGCGGGAAGCCACACCUAAGAUGAGUUCCCUUUUUGGUAAGGACCCUUAUAGACUAUGAGGUUGAUAGGGCGCAGUUGUAAGUACAGUAAUGUAUUCAGACGAGCGCUACUAAUUGUCCGAGCUUUUUAUUA